UAUGGUAGCGUCAGCGUCGGAGGCGGUAGUGACGGUGGCGUUUCCUUGAGGAAGAGUGAGGGUUCCAACUUUUCUGCUUAUCUGGGAGGUGUUGGGCGCGGACAGUCGAGAUGUCAGAGAAAAAGCAGCCGGUAGACUUAGGUCUGUUAGAGGAAGACGACGAGUUUGAAGAGUUCCCUGCCGAAGCUCGCUUUCAAGUUGCUUCAUAAUCCGCCAACAUAGAGCUGUGUCGUAGAAAGCUGGCCUAUUGAAGAGACAGGGUUUCUCCAUGUUGGUCAAGCUGGUCUUGAACUCCCGACCUCAGGUGAUCCACCCGCCUCUGCCUCCCAAAGUGCUGGGAUUACAGGUGUGAGGCACCAUGUCAGCAUAGUUUCUUCUCAAUAGCCCUUCAAUGUAAAGUGCAACAUCUGGAAGGAGUCUCUGAAGG
rnacentral:lncRNA from 1 species